rnacentral:rRNA from 1 species
UACGGGGGGGGCAAGCGUUGUUCGGAAUUACUGGGCGUAAAGGGCUUGUAGGUGGCCAACUAAGUCAGACGUGAAAUCCCUCGGCUUAACCGGGGAACUGCGUCUGAUACUGGAUGGCUGGAGUGUGGGAGAGGGAUGCGGAAUUCCAGGUGUAGCGGUGAAAUGCGUAGAUAUCUGGAGGAACACCGGUGGCGAAGGCGGCGUCCUGGACCAACACUGACACUGAAAAGCGAAAGCCAGGGGAGCAAACGGG